UAAACCACACACCUGGCAGGUAAGCCACACACCUGGCAGGUAAGCCACACAGCUGGCAGGUAAGCCACACACCUGGCAGGUAAACCACACACCUGGCAGGUAAGCCACACAGCUGGCAGGUAAGCCACACACCUGGCAGGUAAGCCACACACCUGGCAGGUGAAUGACACACCUGGCAGGUAAGCCACACACCUGGCAGGUAAGCCACACACCUGGCAGGUAAGCCA